CUUAUUUAUUGGAUAGCCUCAUAAUGCACCAUUUGAAAGGUCACCAUUGUGUCGGAUCUAAUCUUCAUAUAAAACAAAAUGAAGAAAAACACCAAUCUGGAAUGUUAUUGAUAGAUGGUUGAGUCUUAGAUAUGAUGUCAUUGGUUUCAAUCUUUAUAUUGUGUGUAUGGAAAAUGAUAUGUUAGUAGAGGCAACACUCACUUCUCUGAUUCAUACAUUUCAAAAAGGGAUUAGUAUUUGCUAAGUGUAAUAAAGUGAAACAACCUCAUCAACUAAACCAAC
rnacentral:lncRNA from 1 species